UAUGAGGAGAAAUUGGAACUUUGCCCAAAGAGCUAUAAAUCUGUGAGCCAAGGAAAGGUAACAGAAGACUAUCGCAAUAGUCCAGCUUUGCCAUAACAUGUCCUGUUGCUGAACUUUGGCAGUGUAAAACAAAUUAGAUGGACAAUGAGGUGGCACAGAGGACAGAGUGCCAAUCACUCCUAUAUCUAUGCGAAGAAAACUUUAGAUGGAAUCAAAGAGAAUCAGACAGAAUGGAAACAAUGGGACAAUAAGAAGAAACUAGAAUUCAUCAUUUCAUUUCAUCAGAUCAUAAAGUAAAACCAAAAUAGAUGGACAGUGAGGUGGCACAGUGGACAGAGUGCCAAUCACUCCUGUAUUUAUGUGAAGAAAACUUUAGAUGGAAUCACAAAGAAUCAGACAUAACAGAAAUGAUGGGACAACAAGAAGAAACCAGAAUUUAUCAUUUCAUUCCAUCAGAUCAUAAAGUAAAAUGAAUCAAAUGGACAGUAUGGUGGCACAGAGGACAGAGUGCCAGUCAUUCCUAUAUCUAUGUGAAGAAAACUUUAAAUGGAAUCUCAAAGAAAAAUCAGACAGAACGGAAACAAUAGGACAAGAGGAUACCAGAAUUCUUCAUUUCAUUCCAUCAGAUCAUAAAGUAAAACAAAUCAGUUAGAGAGUGAGGUGGCAUAAAGGACAGAGUGCCAAUCACUCCUAUAUUUAUGCAAAGAAAACUUUAGAUGGAAUCACAGAGAAUCAGACAGAACGGAAAGGACGGGACAACAAGAGGAAACCACAAUUCAUCAUUUCAUUCCAUCAGAUCAUAAAAUGAAUGGUGUUAUGGCACAGAGGACAGAGUGCCAAUCACUCCUAUAUUUAUGCAAAGAAAACUUUAGAUGGAGUCACAAAGAAUCAGACAGAACAGAAAUGACGGGACAACAAGAGGAAACAGGAAUUCAUCAUUUUAUUGCAUCAGAUCAUAAUGUAAAACCAAAAUAGAUAGACACUGAGUUGGUACAGUGGACAGAGUGCCAAUCACUCAUAUAUCUAUGUGAAGAAAACUUUAGAUGGAAUCACAGCGAGUCUGACAGAAUGGAAACAACAGGACAAGAAGAAGUAACCAGAAUUCAUCAUUUCAUUCCAUCAGAUCAGAAAGAAAAACGAAAUCAGAUGGACAGUGAGGUGGUGUGAGAAGAAAACUUAGAUGGAAUCACAAGGAGUCAGACAGAACGGAAACGACGGGACAAGAAGAACCCAGAAUUGAUCAUUUCCAUUACACCACAUCAGAAAGAAAAACGAAAUCAGAUGGACAGUGAGGUGGUGUGAGAAGAAAACUUAGAUGGAAUCACAAGGAGUCAGACAGAACGGAAACGACAGGACAAGAAGAACCCAGAAUUGAUCAUUUCCAUUAGACCACAUCCGAAAGAAAAACGAAAUCAGAUGGACAGUGAGGUGGUGUGAGAAGAAAACUUAGAUGGAAUCACAAGGAGUCAGACAGAACGGAAACGACGGGACAAGAAGAAUCCAGAAUUCAUCAUUUCAUUACACCACAUCAGAAAGAAGAAUGAAAUUAGAUGGACAAUGAGGUGGUGUGAGAAGAAAACUUAGACGGAAUCACAAGGAGUCAGACCGAACGGAAACAACAGGACAAGAAGAAGAACCCAGAAUUCAUCAUUUCAUUACACCACAUCAGAAAGAAAAAUGAAAUCAGAUGGACAGUGAGGUGGUGUGAGAAGAAAACUUAGACGGAAUCACAAGGAGUCAGACCGAAUGGAAACAACAGGACAAGAAGAAGAACCCAGAAUUCAUCAUUUCAUUACACCACAUCAGAAAGUAAAACCAAAUUGGAUGAACAGUGAGGUGGCACAGUGGACAGAGUGCCAGUCACUCCUAUAUCUACGAGAAGAAAACUUUAGAUGGAAUCACAGCGAGUCAAGACAGAAUGGAAACGACAGGGAAAGAAGAAGAAACCAGAAUUCAUCAUUUCAUUACACCACAUUGGAAAGUAAAAUCAAAAUUGAUGGACAGCGAAGUGGCACAGUGGGCAGAUUGCUAACCACUUCAAUAUUUUUGUCAAGAAAAGUCUGUAUGGAACCAAAAAGUCAGUCACAACAGAAAGGAAGGAAGAAAAGGACCCAGAAUUCAUCAUUUCAUUUCAUCAAUUCAGAAAGUAAAAUCAAAAUUGAUGGACAAUUUUGUCCAUCCAAUUGUGCGAGGUGGCACAGUGGACAGAUUGCCAACCACUCCAAUAUCUUUGUCAAGAAAAGUCUAUAUGGAACCAUAAAGAAUCAGGCACAACAGAUACGAAGGAACAGACAAAAGAAACCAGAAUUCAUCUUUUAAUUGCGGAUAAGAAAGUAAGAUCAAAAUAGAUGGGCAGUGAGGUAUCGAAGUGGGCAUAUUACCAAUCACUCCAAUAUCUUUGUCAAGAAAAUUCUACAUGGAAUCACAGUCAGAUACAACGAAUAUGACGGAAGAACCAAAAGAAACCAGAAUUCAUCAUUUCAUUUCAUCAGAUACAAAAUAAAAUCAAAAUAGAUGGGCAACGAGGUGGCACAAUGGGCAGUCACUCCAAUAUCUUUGUCAAGAAAACAGGAGAUGGAAUCACAAAGAGUCAAGCACAAAGGAAACGAAGGAACAACAAAAAGAAAGCAGAAUUCUCCAUUUCAUUUCAUCAGAGAAGAAAGUGCAAUCAAAAUAGAUGGGCAGCAAGGUGUCACAUUAGGCAGAGUGCCAAUCACUCCAAUAUUUUUGUAAAGAAAACAGAAGAUGGAAUCACAAAGAAUCAGGCACAACGGAAACAAAGAAACAACAAAAAGAAACCAGAAUUCAUCAUUUCAUUUCAUCAGAGAAGAAAGUAAAAUGAAAAUAUAUGGCAGCAAGGUGUUACAGUAGGCAGAGUACCAAUCACUCUAAUAUCUAUGUCAAGAAAACAGGAGGUGGAAUAACAAAGAGUCAGGCAUAAUGGAAAGGAAGGAACAACAACAACAACAACAACAAAACGAAUUCACCAUUUCAUUUCAUCAGAUAAGAAAGUAAAAUCAAAAUAAAUGGGCAGUAAGGUAGCACAAUGGGCAGAGGGUCAAUCACUCCAAUAUCUUUGUCAAGAAAAGUCUACAUGGAAUCACAAAGAUUCAGGCAUAACAGAAACGAAGAAACCACAAAAAGAAACCAGAAUUCAUCAUUUCAUUUCAUCAGAGAAGAAAGUAAAACCAAAAUAGAUGAGCAGCGAGGUGGUAGCAUAGUGGGCAGAAUACCAGUAUCUAAGUCAAGAAAAGUCUUCAUGGAAUCACAAAGAGUCAGGCACAACAGAAAGGAAAGAACAACAACAACAAAAAAAAAACACCAGAAUCCAUCAUUUCAUUUCAUCAGAGAAGAAAAUGGGCAGCUAUGUGUUACAGUGGGCAGAGUACCAAUCACUCCAGUAUCUAAGUCAAGAAAGGUCUACAUGGAAUCACCAAGAGUCAGGCACAAUGGAAAUGAAGGGACAAGAAGAAGAAAACAAGAAUUCGUCAUUUCAUUUCAUCAGAUCAGAUAGUAAAAUAAAAAUAUAUAGGCAGCAAGGUGGAACAGUGGGCAGAAUACCAAUCACUCCAGUAUCUACAUCAAGAAAAGUCUUCAUGGAAUCAAAGAGUUGGGCACAAUGGAACAGAAAGAAGAACAAAAAGAAACCAGAAUUCAUCAUUUCAUCAGAGAAGAAAGUAAAAUAAAAAUAGAUGAGAAUCAAGUUGGCACGGUGCGCAAAGUGCCAACCACUCCAGUAUCGAAGUCAAGAAAGGUCUUCAUGGAAUCAUAGGGCCGGGCACAACAGAAACAAAGGAACAACAAAAAGAAACCCAAAUUUGUCAUUUCAUUUCAGCAGAGGAGAAAGUAAAAUAAAAAUAGAUGAGCAGCAAGUUGGCACAGUGCGCAAAGUGCCAACCACUCCAGUAUCGAAGUCAAGAAAGGUCUUCAUGGAAUCAUAGGGCUGGGCACAACAGAAACUAAAGAACAACAAAGAGAAACCAGGAUUCCUCAUUUCAUUUCAUCAGAGAUGAAAGUAAAAUAAACAUAGAUGAGCAGCAAGUUGGCAUAGUAGCCAAAGUGCCAACCACUCCAGUGUCGAAGUCAAGAAAGGUCUUCAUGGAAUUACAGGUCCGGGCCCGACAGAACCAAAGGAACAACAAAGAGAAACCCGGAUUUGUCAUUUCAUUUCAUCAGUGAUGAAAGUAAAAUAAACAUAGAUGAGCAGCAAGUUGGCAUGGUAGCCAAAGUGCCAACCAUUCCAGUAUUGAAGUCCAAAAAGGUCUUCUUGGAAUCACAGGUCCGGGCCCGACAGAACCAAAGGAGCAACAAAGAGAAACCCGGAUUCCUCAUUUCAUUUCAUCAGUGAUGAAAGUAAAAUAAACAUAGAUGAGCAGCAAGUUGGCAUGGUAGCCAAAGUGCCAACCAUUCCAGUAUUGAAGUCCAAAAAGGUCUUCUUGGAAUCACAGGUCCGGGCCCGACAGAACCAAAGGAGCAACAAAGAGAAACCCGGAUUCCUCAUUUCAUUUCAUCAGUGAUGAAAGUAAAAUAAACAUAGAUGAGCAGCAAGUUGGCAUAGUAGCCAAAGUGCCAACCAUUCCAGUAUUGAAGUCCAAAAAGGUCUUCUUGGAAUCACAGGUCCGGGCCCGACAGAACCAAAGGAGCAACAAAGAGAAACCCGGAUUCCUCAUUUCAUUUCAUCAGUGAUGAAAGUAAAAUAAACAUAGAUGAGCAGCAAGUUGGCAUGGUAGCCAAAGUGCCAACCAUUCCAGUAUUGAAGUCCAAAAAGGUCUUCUUGGAAUCACAGGUCCGGGCCCGACAGAACCAAAGGAGCAACAAAGAGAAACCCGGAUUCCUCAUUUCAUUUCAUCAGUGAUGAAAGUAAAAUAAACAUAGAUGAGCAGCAAGUUGGCAUAGUAGCCAAAGUGCCAACCAUUCCAGUAUUGAAGUCCAAAAAGGUCUUCUUGGAAUCACAGGUCCGGGCCCGACAGAACCAAAGGAGCAACAAAGAGAAACCCGGAUUCCUCAUUUCAUUUCAUCAGUGAUGAAAGUAAAAUAAACAUAGAUGAGCAGCAAGUUGGCAUAGUAGCCAAAGUGCCAACCAUUCCAGUAUUGAAGUCCAAAAAGGUCUUCUUGGAAUCACAGGUCCGGGCCCGACAGAACCAAAGGAGCAACAAAGAGAAACCCGGAUUCCUCAUUUCAUUUCAUCAGUGAUGAAAGUAAAAUAAACAUAGAUGAGCAGCAAGUUGGCAUAGUAGCCAAAGUGCCAACCAUUCCAGUAUUGAAGUCCAAAAAGGUCUUCUUGGAAUCACAGGUCCGGGCCCGACAGAACCAAAGGAGCAACAAAGAGAAACCCGGAUUCCUCAUUUCAUUUCAUCAGUGAUGAAAGUAAAAUAAACAUAGAUGAGCAGCAAGUUGGCAUGGUACCCAAAGUGCCAACCAUUCCAGUAUUGAAGUCCAAAAAGGUCUUCUUGGAAUCACAGGUCCGGGCCCGACAGAACCAAAGGAGCAACAAAGAGAAACCCGGAUUCCUCAUUUCAUUUCAUCAGUGAUGAAAGUAAAAUAAACAUAGAUGAGCAGCAAGUUGGCAUGGUAGCCAAAGUGCCAACCAUUCCAGUAUUGAAGUCCAAAAAGGUCUUCUUGGAAUCACAGGUCCGGGCCCGACAGAACCAAAGGAACAACAAAGAGAAACCCGGAUUCCA